UUAGCACAGUGGCUGAGCAUUCAGCUGCUAACUGAAAGGUCAGUGGUUCAAACCCACCA
rnacentral:tRNA from 1 species